CUGGGGCUGAAGUCGGUCCCAAGGGUAUGGCUGUUCGCCAUUUAAAGUGGUACGCGAGCUGGGUUCAGAACGUCGUGAGACAGUUCGGUCCCUAUCUGCCGUGGGCGUUGGAUGAUUGAAGGGAGUUGCUCCUAGUACGAGAGGACCGGAGUGAACGAACCUCUGGUGUUCGGGUUGUCACGCCAGUGGCACUGCCCGGUAGCUAAGUUCGGAAUCGAUAACCGCUGAAAGCAUCUAAGCGGGAAGCGAGCCCUGAGAUGAGUCAUCCCUGACCCCUUGAGGGUCCUAAAGGGCCGUUGGAGACCACAACGUUGAUAGGUGGGGUGUGUAAGCGCGGCGACGUGUUGAGCUAACCCAUACUAAUUACCCGUGAGGCUUAACCAUACAACACCCAAGAAGUGUU
rnacentral:rRNA from 1 species